rnacentral:tRNA from 1 species
GGGCCUGUAGCUCAGUUGGGAGAGCACCUGGUUUGCAACCAGGGGGUCGGGAGUUCGAAUCUCCUCAGGUCCACCA